rnacentral:tRNA from 1 species
AAGGCUUUAAGUUAAAUAAACUAAUAGCCUUCAAAGCUAUAAAUAUAAGUAAAAGUCUUUUAAGCCUUA